rnacentral:rRNA from 1 species
UGCCAGCAGCCGCGGUAAGAGGGAGGGUGCAAGCGUUGCUCGGAAUCACUGGGCGUAAAGCGUACGCAGGCGGCCAAUUAAGUUGGAUGUGUAAGCCCUGGGCUCAACCCGGGAACUGCAUUCAAAACUGGUUGGCUUGAGUGUGAGAGAGGGAAGUGGAAUUCCAGGUGUAGAGGUGAAAUUCGUUGAUAUCUGGAGGAACACCGGCGGCGAAGGCGGCAUCCUGGCUCACAACUGACGCUCAUGUACGAAAGCGUGGGGAGCAAACAGGAUUAGAUA